rnacentral:rRNA from 1 species
ACAACGAAGAGUUUGAUCCUGGCUCAGGAUGAACGCUAGCGACAGGCUUAACACAUGCAAGUCGAGGGGCAGCACAGGUAGCAAUACCGGGUGGCGACCGGCGCACGGGUGAGUAACGCGUAUGCAACUUGCCUAUCAGAGGGGGAUAACCCGGCGAAAGUCGGACUAAUACCGCAUGAAGCAGGGGCCCCGCAUGGGGAUAUUUGCUAAAGAUUCAUCGCUGAUAGAUAGGCAUGCGUUCCAUUAGGCAGUUGGCGGGGUAACGGCCCACCAAACCGACGAUGGAUAGGGGUUCUGAGAGGAAGGUCCCCCACAUUGGUACUGAGACACGGACCAAACUCCUACGGGAGGCAGCAGUGAGGAAUAUUGGUCAAUGGGCGUAAGCCUGAACCAGCCAAGUCGCGUGAGGGAUGAAGGUUCUAUGGAUCGUAAACCUCUUUUAUAAGGGAAUAAAGUGCGGGACGUGUCCCGUUUUGUAUGUACCUUAUGAAUAAGGAUCGGCUAACUCCGUGCCAGCAGCCGCGGUAAUACGGAGGAUCCGAGCGUUAUCCGGAUUUAUUGGGUUUAAAGGGUGCGUAGGCGGCCUUUUAAGUCAGCGGUGAAAGUCUGUGGCUCAACCAUAGAAUUGCCGUUGAAACUGGGGGGCUUGAGUAUGUUUGAGGCAGGCGGAAUGCGUGGUGUAGCGGUGAAAUGCAUAGAUAUCACGCAGAACCCCGAUUGCGAAGGCAGCCUGCCAAGCCAUUACUGACGCUGAUGCACGAAAGCGUGGGGAUCAAACAGGAUUAGAUACCCUGGUAGUCCACGCAGUAAACGAUGAUCACUAGCUGUUUGCGAUACACUGUAAGCGGCACAGCGAAAGCGUUAAGUGAUCCACCUGGGGAGUACGCCGGCAACGGUGAAACUCAAAGGAAUUGACGGGGGCCCGCACAAGCGGAGGAACAUGUGGUUUAAUUCGAUGAUACGCGAGGAACCUUACCCGGGUUUGAACGCAUUCGGACCGAGGUGGAAACACCUUUUCUAGCAAUAGCCGUUUGCGAGGUGCUGCAUGGUUGUCGUCAGCUCGUGCCGUGAGGUGUCGGCUUAAGUGCCAUAACGAGCGCAACCCUUGCCACUAGUUACUAACAGGUAAAGCUGAGGACUCUGGUGGGACUGCCAGCGUAAGCUGCGAGGAAGGCGGGGAUGACGUCAAAUCAGCACGGCCCUUACAUCCGGGGCGACACACGUGUUACAAUGGCGUGGACAAAGGGAAGCCACCUGGCGACAGGGAGCGAAUCCCCAAACCACGUCUCAGUUCGGAUCGGAGUCUGCAACCCGACUCCGUGAAGCUGGAUUCGCUAGUAAUCGCGCAUCAGCCAUGGCGCGGUGAAUACGUUCCCGGGCCUUGUACACACCGCCCGUCAAGCCAUGGGAGCCGGGGGUACCUGAAGUCCGUAACCGCGAGGAUCGGCCUAGGGUAAAACUGGUGACUGGGGCUAAGUCGUAACAAGGUAGCCGUACCGGAAGGUGCGGCUGGAACACCUCCUUU